GACGUUAGCUGCAGAAGAAGCACCGGCUAACUCCGUGCCAGCAGCCGCGGUAAUACGGAGGGUGCGAGCGUUAAUCGGAAUUACUGGGCGUAAAGCGCAUGCAGGUGGUUUGUUAAGUCAGAUGUGAAAGCCCGGGGCGUCAACCUACGGAAUUGCAUUUAGAAACUGGCAAACUAGAGUACUGUAGAGGGGGGUAGGAAUUUCAGGUGUAGCGGUGAAAUGCGUAGAGAUCUGAAGGAAUACCGGUGGCGAAGGCGGCCCCCUCGGACAGAUACUGACACUCAGAUGCGAAAGCGUGGGGAGCAAACAGGAUUAGAUACCCUGGUAG
rnacentral:rRNA from 1 species